UACGUAGGGUGCAAGCGUUAAUCGGAAUUACUGGGCGUAAAGCGUGCGCAGGCGGUUCUAUAAGACAGGUGUGAAAUCCCCGGGCUUAACCUGGGAACUGCGCUUGUAACUGGCAAGCUUGAGUGUGGCAGAGGGGGGUGGAAUUCCACGUGUAGCAGUGAAAUGCGUAGAGAUGUGGAGGAACACCGAUGGCGAAGGCAGCCCCCUGGGCUAACACUGACGCUCAUGCGCGAAAGCGUGGGGAGCAAACAGG
rnacentral:rRNA from 1 species